GACGAACGCUGGCGGCGUGCCUAAUACAUGCAAGUCGAGCGAAGUUUUUCUGGUGCUUGCACUAGAAAAACUUAGCGGCGAACGGGUGAGUAACACGUAAAGAACCUGCCUCAUAGACUGGGACAACUAUUGGAAACGAUAGCUAAUACCGGAUAACAGUACUUCUCGCAUGAGAGAUAUUUAAAAGUUGGUUAUGCUAACACUAUGAGAUGGCUUUGCGGUGCAUUAGCUAGUUGGUGGGGUAAAGGCCCACCAAGGCGACGAUGCAUAGCCGACCUGAGAGGGUGAUCGGCCACACUGGGACUGAGACACGGCCCAGACUCCUACGGGAGGCAGCAGUAGGGAAUCUUCCGCAAUGGGCGAAAGCCUGACGGAGCAACGCCGCGUGAGUGAAGAAGGAUUUCGGUUCGUAAAGCUCUGUUGUUAGGGAAGAAUGGAUAUGUAGUAACUAUACAUGUAAGAGACGGUACCUAACCAGAAAGCCACGGCUAACUACGUG
rnacentral:rRNA from 1 species